AAGAACGCUGGCGGCAUGCCUAACACAUGCAAGUCGAACGAAGCCUUCGGGCUUAGUGGCGCACGGGUGCGUAACACGUGGGAAUCUGCCCUUCGGUUCGGAAUAACAGUUAGAAAUGACUGCUAAUACCGGAUGAUGACGUAAGUCCAAAGAUUUAUCGCCGAAGGAUGAGCCCGCGUAGGAUUAGGUAGUUGGUAGGGUAAUGGCCUACCAAGCCGACGAUCCUUAGCUGGUCUGAGAGGAUGAUCAGCCACACUGGGACUGAGACACGGCCCAGACUCCUACGGGAGGCAGCAGUGGGGAAUAUUGGACAAUGGGCGAAAGCCUGAUCCAGCAAUGCCGCGUGAGUGAUGAAGGCCUUAGGGUUGUAAAGCUCUUUUACCAGGGAUGAUAAUGACAGUACCUGGAGAAUAAGCUCCGGCUAACUCCGUG
rnacentral:rRNA from 1 species